ensembl:lncRNA
CUCUCAGGGAUAAGACUACUGGACUACCCAGACGAUCUUUUGCGUGCCUGUUGUUUGCAAGCUCCCCAACUCUAGACCAAGACAGCAAUUUAAAGCAGCUAUAACCCAUUAGAACGUUUACUUCACCUUUACUCUAUCCUAAACUGGAAGUUACUCUUUUUUUUAAAAGAGAACCUCCAAAUCUGAGCACUUCUCACUAAUAAAGCACUCGGUGCCUAACAGGCACCGUCAUUUCACCCUAAAUUCAGUCACCUUGGCAGAUCUUUAUAGUUUAACUCGGUUCGCACGAGGCAGCUGAGCACCCCGCGUUCUCGAGAGUGCUUUGUGGCCUAGACUCGCUCCUUGGAGAUUGCCUUGAAGCGAUUGGUCUCCCUCCGAGGAUCCUGGAAGCCUGAAGUGAGCGAGCAGGGAACGCACUGACACUAGGGAGUCAGACUCUGCGACGUAGCUCAGCAAUGGAGCGCUUGCCUAGCACAGACACGGCACAUCUCUACCCCGGCCACACACAGACACACACAGGUCUUCAGACGGUUUAAGAUUCACAGGCCGCCCCAAAACGUGCUGUGGCCUUUCCACCAGGUCAUUCCCAAAGCGGACAUCCGCUUGGGACUAAGUUUGAAAUGUGAGUAAAAGCUCAGAGAACGGAACCCCGUGUGUUGGGAGAAGUUUUGAGCAUGGCGUGGUGGUUGCAAGCCUAUAAUUCCAGCGCUCUGGAGUCGGGCAGGACUGCCUUGAGUUCGGGGCUUUCCUGGGCUACCCAGGGAUUCUCCUAAUUAAAAAAGUUUGGAAGCGGUGGAGGCUGAUGAGGAUAUAAAUGGACCUCCACCAAUUUCACCGGACACACACACUCCAAAGCAGGAACUCCCAAGAUGGGGUACGCCGCCGCGGCGCAGCAGGUUAUAGCCAAGGAAAGAAGUGAUGAAAGCAGGCCAGGAAACUGGAACACUUUGCCUUAAAGGCUACCUGGAGGGCCAUGGAUUCCCUUCGAAUGCUGGGACCACAGUGGGACAGAAAGGGUUAUGAAAUGAGCCUCCUUGCUGUUGGCCUGCUAAAUUGGCUAAUCCUCCCUAGUGGUACAAGGACAAAGCCAGCUCAGCUACUGAAGCCGCUUCUUGAUGUAGUCUAACCUUGAAACCUGGCCUCCUAGCCAGAACUUCAGGGUGCCAUCAGCACACCUCACUUCUCCGCUCUUGAAGUAGUCUCAGUUCUCGGAGAACUGAGUAUGAGGCCAUCCUCCAAUUGUAAUGCAUCGAGG